GCACAAGAAACCUAGAUGCUAUUUUCUUAUGAAAUUGUUGGAAACUCAUAGAUAAGUUCGAUUUUCGUCGACUCGACGGAAAUCGUUUGCUCGAUUGUUCGUUUUGUGCCGUGAGGCAAAAGACGGCAACCCGCGGCACUGAGCGGCAGACGGUGGCAAUUAUCGGGGCUCGGUCAGCCCAGGUUUUUCUCAGAUUGAUCUCCUCAUCGCGCCAUAUUUUCUCUCGCCAAUUGCUGGUCUCACAUCGUGGACGACGAUUGUAGCCUUGUUUUAGCGUCGCAGCUGCUUCGCCACCGUCUCUGCCUCACGCGUGCUGGACAACCGCAGGUGAGAAGGAAAACAUGAUUUCCGCUAGAUGGAAUUUGGCCGUUGGCCCAGUUAUUAUGGUUGCUGGCGCCUUUGGAGCUGUUGUUGCAGCUACUGUAGCCAACGAGUUUAGUGGCAGCAAGCAAGACAAAGUAUCACAAGAGAAGCCUAAAGCUUGAAACAGUGAAUGAAAGAUGUUGCCGACUAGCUGUGCAGAAACUCGGUGGCAGUUCGUGCGGAUUUUCGUCACCAGUCAUGCCUUGAGAUUUUUCCUGCACGAAAUUACGACUGCAAUAAAUCAAUAAUCUUUGCAUCUUAAUAUCUGCGUUUUGUUGCCGUUCUGACGCUUACGAAUCAUAUGUUGAGAAUCCGCGGUCUGGUUCUUUCAGAUAUGAACGGGACUUUCUGCAGUUGACCCAGAGGUGCAUGUUUUCGAUAUAUGCCUUCACAUGCACGAAUUUUUUUUUUGCACAAGUAAUAGUCUCCGCUACUCAUCAAUGAAGACCAACUUGAUCGUCAUCAUGAGCUUAUGCCUACUUUGCUCAAUCUUACGCAGCUACUGUAUUGGUCUGGUAUUGUGUCAUUUUCGCUCAAAGGGCGAUCGUCUUUUUCUGGAGGUAUUUUGACAUGGAUUUCCAUAGUCCUGUUACAUAGUUCUGUAACAGGUCGUGCAUGUGCUAGGCUUUUAUCUAUUUCUCUUUAUUUCUUUCUUCUUUCUUCACCUCUUCCGUCAAUUCUUUCUUCGUUGGUGUCCUAAUGCGCAAGAAACUUGAUUUCACCAUUUAAAUGUGAAGCAGAUUAUAAUGGACUCGGGGAGCUUAAAGUUGGUAUUUGAGUAGCUCUGUGCAAUCUGUUAGUGCCUGUUGAACUUUGAAGGCACGUUCUUGAUAUGUGUUCUUCCAAACCACGUCCAACUGCUCAAAUCGACCGCUAUUUCUUCAGCCGCAAGGGAAAGAAGUAUCCAACCGGCACCCGAGCCAAUCUCGUCACCACCAUGGGUUUCUGGGAGGCAACUGGACGCGACAAACCCAUCCACACUAAGCUAAACCAGACUCUGAUCGGCAUGCGCAAAACGCUUGUAUUCUAUCAAGGCUGUGCUCCACAUGGCAUCAAGACUGACUGGAAUUUGCGCGAGUUUAGCCUUGACGACAGAUCCGAACGACCAACCCAUGACGGUGGGUGGGUGGUCUGCUGUGUAUUCAAGAAGAACAAAAACCUGAAGAUGGAAAUGCAGCAAGAAAGAGCUACUUCUUACGAAGAGCAAAUGGGUGCGCUGCCUCCUGAAGCACUGGGCUCUCCCAACGUACUCCCUGUAGACGACCAGUUAACACUUCUUGAAAAAUCUUCCCGAAAAAUCUCCCUGAAAAAUCUUCCGGGGUCAAGCGAGAAAUCACUAACCUCGGCGACUGUCAACUCCAUCAGUCUAACGAGUAUCUGAACUCGCUUCAUCGGGAGCUUGGAUACCCCUCAAGCUUGAAUAGACCAGACGAUGUCAACUAUUUCAUGAAUUUGUAUCCAGAAACGUCAAACUCGGGCUUGUGUGAGUUUAAUGAUCCCCAGACUUCUAGUGGCAGUGACGGCACGGAGCUGAACCACGAAGAAACAAUCUCGGGAUCCUCCCACAACGACUCAUGCUUCGAAGACAGGUCGCUAUCGUUGCCCCUGGGCUCUUGGUCCAGCGCCAAAGCCAAAGCUCUAAGAGUAAUCAAAGAGCAGGCUGACGACAUGUGUUUUGAAGACGAAAUGUUGAGAUUCGGAUUCUAUGGCAUUGAUCACGACCGCGACUGCAGUGGAGAGAGCUUGAAUGGCAUGGCGGGGCAAGGAUGCUUUAAUCCCAAAUUGCAAAGCACGACGAGCCCCAAAUGGGUGAAAGUGUUGGUAAACCCCAUGACGUCGAGAAACCGGGUGUUCCCCAGCCGGUCGAAGGACGAUGUCAGGAAAAAUUGAGGCUCAAGAAAGCGGGCUGCGCGAUUUGCUUCGUCUGAUUGGGGUCGUAAAGAAGAAAACGAUGAAGUGUCACUGCAAGAGCAGCGCACUGUGUUUUCGUGGCUGCAGGAUGCAGACACAAGAUCACAGCUGAGGAGACGCGAGCAAAGGGACCAGCGGGUGUCGUCGUCAUCUCCUUCGCGCUAAUCCUAGCACUGAAUGUUUUUGCUGUGAACAAAUGUGAUUUCAACGCUCAAGUUUAUAUGCUCAGGGCAGCGGCGCCACUUUUGCCUGCCUUGCUUGAUCGUGUGGAAGCCUGACAGGGGACUCUGGUGUUUGGAUUUGUUUCAAAUGUAGUUGGACGUGGUUUGGGAGAACUCUGCGACUGCAGCGAGGGGGGGCAGCGGGGGAGGGGGCGUCCUGUUCGCGGGCCCCAGUUCAAACUAAAAAAACAGUAAGUAGAUAGGUUAUCACUUCGAGGGGCAUUUUUGCAAUUAUCAAUACUUGACGGGUAUUCUUGAUAUUUCGAAAAAGUUCAGUAAAAUGUGUGAUGUUUGUUCUUUUGUAAACCAUAUUUACAAUCUGUUCACAAUUUUAGGUAAUAUGUUGUCUUUAUUUGUUUACAACCAUUACUGUAGCCAACCCAUUUCCAAUAACUUAAGCAUUUUAGCAUAUCUGCUGUAAGUGUAUGAAAAAAUAAAAAUAUAUCUGUGUAGAGAAAUAGAAAUUAUGAGGAUUCCAAUUGAUUUUACUCGAUUUACUUGCCCAAAAACGGAAUUUUUAUCAAUGUUUUAGCUGAAGA